GGUAACACUAACUGGAGGACCGAACCGACUAAUGUUGAAAAAUUAGCGGAUGACUUGUGGCUGGGGGUGAAAGGCCAAUCAAACCGGGAGAUAGCUGGUUCUCCCCGAAAGCUAUUUAGGUAGCGCCUCGUGAAUUCAUCUCCGGGGGUAGAGCACUGUUUCGGCAAGGGGGUCAUCCCGACUUACCAACCCGAUGCAAACUGCGAAUACCGGAGAAUGUUAUCACGGGAGACACACGGCGGGUGCUAACGUCCGUCGUGAAGAGGGAAACAACCCAGACCGCCAGCUAAGGUCCCAAAGUCAUGGUUAAGUGGGAAACGAUGUGGGAAGGCCCAGACAGCCAGGAUGUUGGCUUAGAAGCAGCCAUCAUUUAAAGAAAGCGUAAUAGCUCACUGGUCGAGUCGGCCUGCGCGGAAGAUGUAACGGGGCUAAACCAUGCACCGAAGCUGCGGCAGCGACACUAUGUGUUGUUGGGUAGGGGAGCG
rnacentral:rRNA from 1 species